rnacentral:rRNA from 1 species
CAGCAGCCACGGGAAUACAGAGGGUGCGAGCGUUAAUCGGAUUUACUGGGCGUAAAGCGUGUGUAGGUUGUUGUUCAAGUCAGUUGUGAAAUCCCUGGGCUCAACCUGGGAACUGCUUCUGAGACUGAACGACUAGAGUACGGUAGAGGGUGGUGGAAUUUCCGGUGUAGCGGUGAAAUGCGUAGAUAUCGGAAGGAACAUCAAUGGCGAAGGCAGCCAUCUGGCCUAAUACUGACGCUGAGGUACGAAAGCAUGGGGAGCAAACAGGAUUAGAUACCCCCGUAGUCCCUGUCUCUUAUAC